AAAACUUGCCAGUCUUUUGGGUAUGAAACCCAUUUGGGCGAGAGUAGUACUAGGAUGGGUGACCUCCUGGGAAGUCCUCGUGAAAGGGUUUC
rnacentral:rRNA from 2 species